AGAAAGGAAACACGUGAGAGAGAGAGAGAGAGAGAGGAAGAAGAAAGGAGAAAGAGAGGGAGUUAGGCUCGGAUCUAGGAGUCUUUGUGACCGUUGCGAGCUCGGCUACACGAUAGAAAAUUGUUGGUGGAACUUAUUGAGAAGUAAGGAACAAGCCGAGCCCUAUUUUGUACAAGGGGAACCCUUUUAGUACCAAAGGGUUGAGGUCCAGGCGAAGGAUCCAGUGGUGGACGGGGAAAAGAGCAAAGCUAGGGGUUUGCUUGUGAUUUGUAAAGAACUGCAACCCCUUUCUUUUGAGCAAAUAUAUUGUAAUGUAUUUAAGAUUAGGGUGC